CAUCAGUACCUGCUGUCACCUCAGCAGCUUUGGUGCAGGACUGAUGGAGCAGCUAUUUUUCCCCAGUAUAAGACUCUCCUUUCAGAUCCUACAGCAACAGUAACCAUAUGGAGGUGGAAGAUUCCUUUCUCUGGUGAAACGUAAUAAUUUUUCUUUCCUUCUGAGAAUCCCAGAAUAAAUCAUCGCUCUCUCAUUUCGCUGGAUGUUAGGGGUUGGAAGGGACCUAAGGAGAUCAUUGAGCCCAACCCCUCUGCCAGAGCAGGACGCAGGAGUAAAUGCUCUGAUUCAUUUGCAACGUGGUUUCUAUUUUUUUCAACUAUAUUGAGUCAUUGCAAAUGAAGGAAACCCAAAAGUGAUUCUGCCACGGUGAAUUUGAUGUAUGUCAGUUGUGUGUUUACAAAGUACCUCUAACUUCUGUGCUUCCUAGCAUUAGAGGUUCUGAUACAAGGAGCUGGUGCUGGGAAGUAAGAGAUGGGAGCAGCGCUUGCAGCUCCACCACAUGCCAGUACCUGCUUGGAACUGAAUGCUACUCAAGGCAUACUUGGUCCCUACACCCUCUCCGCCACCUGUGCUGCACUAAUGUGGAAUGAGAUAGAGAAAGGAUCCCAGCUGCCAGCUAGUCCUGAAAGCUGUGAUACCCCCAAAACAAGCCUGGGAAAUGCGUGCCUUGUAAAACCUCCAGAACAAAAAUUUCAUACAGCCACCACCACUGCCACCCUGACAGGCUGCUACCUCUUAAGUGGAAUUUUUUUAAGCUUGUGGAAUUAUUCUUGGUUUAAGGAAACUGUCACUUCAUUAGAACUUGUAAAACAUUUCAUUAGAACUUGUAAAACUUUUUCCUUUUAGGAAAAAACACAGCCUUAGUUGCUGCCAUCAAAACCUCUACUAUUGUAAGACUUAAUGUAGUCAUUUAUUUGUACACCAUUUCAGUUCAUCAAUCUCACUAAUAGAUUCAUUUGAAUGAAAAAAGGCUAUGACCUGUAGCUGAUGAAGGCACAAGAUCCAAUUCCCUGUUGUUUGACACAAAUGGUAGUCAAUUAAAAACAUACAGAAAAGGGAUAAACCUCUCUCAGAGCAGAUUAAUUUUGAGGGAGCAAGUGACCCCCUGGGAUGAGAAUCAGCAGGCACAGAUCUCCUACAUUAACAGAUUUCAUGUCCACAGGCAAAUUCUACCUGUCUGUUCAUGAUGUUUCAUUAAAUGCACUUUCACCAGUUUUGUGAUUAUUUUCUACAGCUAUUCUAAAAUAUCAUCAUUUAUUUAUAAUAGGAGCCAGAAUGGAACUAGUAAACAGUUUCCACAUCUUUGUUUCUCACCAUAAUUUGUUUUCACUUGUUUUAAUAAUGUCAGUAAUGUUAUUUUUUUCUAAGUAAUACCUACAUCAUACUUCAGAAUGCAGAUCUACUUACGCUGCCUUUGUUUGAUUUAAAUUAGGUCUGGGCUUUUUAUUUCUUCAUCUUUCCUGUUUCUUUGUGUGAAUUGGCUUCAUCUUGGAGAAUAUGCAGUUUCACAAUUACCCACUUUUAUCACAUUACCAACUGUUGGGAAUAGUAAGAUUAAAUGUAGUGAUUCUAUAGAAUUGUCUGAUUAUGGUACAGCUAUUGGAAUUUGAAACACUGGAACACAAGCCAUGGAUAGGUGAGAGUGCACAAGCUCGGUAAGUGCUGAGUUGAGAUAAAAUGGAAGGUUGGAAUGACCUUAGAGAAUGGUGGAAUGAAUACAAACAAAUAUAAAGCUGGAGUCUGUGGUUUUCCCCCAUCUCUGCUGACUUAGAUUGCUUAGACACAAUGUACAUGUUGCUGAGAGAAUAUGAUGAAUGUCUAUGCUAAUUAGUAUGUAGUUUCUAAUGCAAAUAUAUGUAAUCAAUGAGUCUAACAUGAUUUGUAACCUUCUUAUGUAGCCUUCUGAUGGAAAGUAUAUCAACCCAUGCUUGGGGUACAAUAAACUGGAACUUGCUUAUGUUAA